AAUUGAAAGAGUUUUGAAAACUUUGAAAUUAACAAGUAUUGCUUGGAAUUCUGGAGAAUGACUUAUUGGAAAAGUUUAAUAGCGUUUUGGGUGAUAUCAUAAUUUCAGAAAGUUUUGGGAAUAACAAGCAUUAUUUAAAAAUUCUAAAAUUGGACAUUUGUGCAAAGUUUUAUGAUGUUUUGGGACAUAGCAUAAUUUUAUACAGUUUUGGGUCAAAUUAUAAUUUUAGAAAAUAGUUCACUGUAGCAGUCAGUGUAGCUAAGCGGUGUUAGAGUGCAAUUUAUGCACUAGUUUUGCAUUGUUUACUUCCCUUAAUAUCGAUGUUUUGCAUUUAAUAAUAGUGAUUUACCUGUGAUUUACUUUUGUAGGUGCAAUUCUAUUGAUUGGUGAUAAAAUUGAGCUACAAGAUGAUGUUUAGGGAUGAUUGUUCCCUUGGAGAAAUUAUGAGCGGCAGAAGAACUUUGUUGAUAAGGCGUGGGCGCGUGCUGUCAAUUGCGGACCUGCAGUUUUUAGUUUAACGUGUUUUAUAUUUUUGGCUAUUUUUGUAAUUACGAAUUUAAUAUUUUAGAUAUUAGUAUUUUAUUUUAAAUAGAACUCUAAAAGAGAAGAGAGAGAGAGUAUUUAAGGGAGGAAUCAAUUGUGAAAAAGGGGGGAUUUUUGGAUUGGAGAAAAAGAAAGAAACCCUAGAUCUAAUUUUUCUCUUCUCUCUAUGAAGAACUAAACCUAUUUUUCUGGUUGAAGGAUAACGAAGCUUUGAUUCAUCACUACUGUGAGAUCUUUCUUGUGCUUUAAUUGUUUUAUUGCUUUUUGGGUAUUUGUUUAUUCUCUGUAUUAUUUUCAUGAUUAUGUUUGUUAAUUAGGUAAUUGGCCACUAUUUAAUUAUCAACUUAAUCUAUUGUCAAUUAAAGGAUUCAUCGUAUGAAGAAUUUAAUGUUUGUGACAAAUAACAUAGCAGAGAGUUGUGUUGUGAGAAUAAACAAUCUAAUUUAAAUGAAUCAUCAUAUGUGUUGAUUAGGAUUUGGGUCUCUCUGGUUUUUCAGGCUGUCAAUUGAUUAAAUUCUAUGAUCGUAUCUAGGGUUGUCUAUUGAUUAGGAAAAUAACCAACGGUCGUACCUUGGUUAUCGACUAGUUAAGGAGAGAUUGGCUAUUAGAGGGUCUCAGUAGCUAUAACCGGUCUAUUCAUAAGUAAUAAUAAUAAUCUAUAUUUGAAUCAAUGAUCAGUAGUCGAAUCAAGCUGAGUUAAUUCCUUCAACCAGAGCUUUCUCCAAUUUGAAUUACAACUUUAAUUUGCAUUCUUGUUAUUUUAAUUUGAUUUUUAUUAUUGUCAACAAUUCCCCCAUUUUACGUUUUACGUUUCAAAAGGAUUUAAAUAAUUACCGAUCUCUGUGGACACGACCCUGCUCAAUCACUAUACACAAUUUAUUUAGAGUAGGAAUUUAUUUUUGUUGGCUUCGACAACCAUCAAAUUUUGGCGCCGUUGCCGGGGAUUGGUGUCAUUUAUUUAAUCCUUUUUACGUUUUACUUGGUGUAUGGUUCGUUCUUCUCGUACAGGUACACUUUCGUUUGAUCCUGAAAUUGAGAAGACAGCUCGCCAGCUGAGACAGCAGACAAAGCGAGCUAAGCAACGAUCCUCGUCGCCUUUGCUUUCUGAAACAGAUACAGUGCCUGAUUUAGUUGAAUCAUCUAGCGAUUCAGAAGAACAAGUGAUGGAUAGACCUGCACCUGUAGAAAGAACUCUUAGAGAGUUAGCUGAACCAGACUUGAAUCAACAACCACUCUGCAUUCAAUAUGUAGACUUGGAGGUAAAUUUUGAAUUAAAGUCUGGUCUUAUUCAUUUAUUACCCAAGUUUCAUGGUUUUGCAGGUGAAGAUCCUCAUAAACAUCUUAAGGAGUUUCAUGUUGUGUGUUCAAGUAUGAGACCACAAGGCGUGACUGAAGAGCAGAUUAAGCUGCGUGCUUUUCCGUUCUCUGUAGAUGGGCUAGCUAAAGAUUGGUUGUACUACUUGCCUCCUGGAUCGAUUACAACGUGGAAUGGUUUGAAGAAGCAGUUCCUCGAGAAGUACUUUCCUGCUUCAAGAGCUGCCAACAUCAGAAAAGAUAUUUGUGGGAUCAGACAACUUCCUGGGGAGACUUUGUAUGAGUAUUGAGAGCGAUUCAAACAAUUGUGUGCCAGUUGUCCUCAGCAUCAAAUUUCUGAUCAACUUCUUAUUCAAUAUUUUUACGAAGGAUUAUCAUUGAUGGAUAGGAGUAUGAUAGAUGCUGCUAGUGGAGGCGUGUUGGUGAACAAGACCCCUACUCAAGCAAGGGAGUUGAUCUCAAAUAUGGCUGCCAAUGCACAACAAUUUGGCAGCAGGCAAGAUGCCACUUCAAGAACGGUGAAUGAGGUAAAUAUUUCUUCAGUUGAACAACGUUUAGAUAAACUCACUUCUCUUGUGGAAAAGUUUGUUGUAGGUAAUGUGCAACAGGUGAAGACUUGUGGUAUUUGUUACAAUAUGGGUCAUUCAACUGAUAUGUGUCCUACACUUCAAGAAGAACCCGUUGAACAAGCCAAUGCAGUUGGAGGAUUUCCAGGCAUGCCUCAGAGGAGGUAUGAUCCUUAUGCACAAACAUACAAUCCGGGAUGGAAGGAUCAUCCCAACUUCAGCUAUGGAGUUAGGCAGUCAGGAUUCCCACAACAGUAUCCACCAAGACAACCAGCACCUCCACAGUCAAACUCCAAGUCAGGUAUAUCUCUCGAAGAAAUUGUUAAAUCACUUGCGACUAACACACAACAAUUUCAGCAGGCAACUACAGCAAGCAUUCAGAACUUGGAGAACCAAAUGAGUCAAUUGGCGACUACAGUGAGCCGUCUGGAGUCUCAAGUAUUAGGGAGAUUGCCUUCACAAUCUGAGGUGAAUCCAAAGCAAAACGUUAGUGCUGUCAUCCUUAGAAGUGGGAAAGAGUUGCAAGAGCCUAGUAAGAAAGUGACAAAGUAUGUAGAAGAUGAGCUUGAGAAGAAUGAAUUGAUGCCUCAAUCUCAAGAUGCGCAACCCACCAGAGCGAAACCCCUACCUAUUGUGAUACCUCCUCAUUUUCCAAGCCGGUUUGCAAAAUCCAAAAAGGAGGAACAAGAGAAAGACAUCCUUGAGACAUUUCGCAAGGUUGAGGUAAAUAUUCCUUUAUUAGAUGCUAUAAAACAGAUACCUCGAUAUGCUAAAGUCCUUAAGGAACUAUGCACCUCUAAGAGAAAAUUAAGAGGAGAUGAAAAAGUUCACAUGGGGGAGAAUAUUUCAGCAAUUCUUCAAAAGAAACUACCUCCUAAGUGCAAGGAUCCAGGUAUGUUUACUAUUCCUUGUAAAAUUGGUAGUGUUAGAAUUGAAAAGGCUUUGUUAGAUCUAGGAGCUUCUAUUAAUGUCAUGCCUCGUUCUAUUUAUUCAUCUUUGAAUAUUGGUCCAUUAAAAGAAACUGGCGUGAUAAUUCAACUAGCCGAUAGGUCUAAUGCAUAUCCUGAUGGGGUAUUAGAAGAUGUCUUAGUACAAGUUAAUGAGUUAGUUUUUCCUGCUGAUUUUUAUGUACUUGAUAUGGAAGAUGAUAACUCCUCUAAUUCUGUCCCAAUUUUGCUAGGAAGACCUUUUCUUAAGACUGCUAGGACUAAAAUGGAUGUACAUAAAGGGACUCUCACUAUGGAGUUUGAUGGAGAGGUUAUAGAAUUCAAUAUGAAUGAUGCCAUGAAAUAUCAUAGUGAUGAACAUUCAGUAUUCUCUGUGGAUGUUAUUAACCCUAUAGUGCAGGAAGUUUUUUACAAGAAAAAGACGAAGACAUUUCAUGAUAGAAUGAUUUUGAGAAAGGAGUUCUCUGUUGGUCAAAAAGUUCUUCUUUUUCAUUCUAAACUUAAACUUUUUCCGGGUAAAUUACGUUCUUGCUGGGUUGGACCUUUUAUUGUUACUAAUGUUUUUCCUCAUGGUGCAGUUGAGAUUCGGAGUCCGACCUCUGACAGAGUUCUUAAGGUUAAUGGUCAUCGCUUAAAACCUUUUUAUGAAGGUUUUUCGGUGAAUAUCGUGGAAGAUGUGGCUCUCGAGAGUCCCAAUUAUGGAGAUUGAUGCAUAAAUGUGUCUAGCCAAAGACAUAAAACAAAGGCGCUUUUUGGGAGGCAACCCAAAUGAUUUAUUUAUUUUGGUUUUUGUCAUAUCUUCUUUUAAUUUUGAUUUAGAUUUUUUUUUAAAAAAAUAAUGUGUUUGCUUAUUUUGGUCAGAAGAAAAUUUUUGAUAAGGCGUGCCCACGUCUUAACUAAUAAGUACUUCUGUGAUUUUUAACGUGAAAUGGUUUUAAGGCGUGCCCACGUGCUUAUUAGAAAAGUACUUCUGAAAUUUUUUUUUUUUUUGUGUCUCAAAGUGGUUCAUCAUAAAAAAAAAUUAUUUAUUUAUUUAUUUGAAAAUUAAAAAAAAACUUUUUUUUUUCUUUUCCUUUCUUUUCUUUCUUUUUUAUAUAUAUAUUUUUUUUAUUUGAAAAAAAAAAAUUUACUGUUCACAAAAUCCCUAAUUCACAGAAUUGGUUUUCUUCUCCAGCCUUCACCGAGCAGCCACGCAGCACCAGCGAUCCACCAUCGCGAACCAGCCCACGCAGCAGCAGCAGCAACUGUGCGCGCAGCCAGCUCCAUCCCACGCGUGCGCAUAUUCAGCCUUCACCGAGCAGCCACGCAGCAACCCGCGAGCGCAGAUCCAGCCUUUGCCUAGCAGCGCGCAGAACCAACGUCAGCCCAGCUCUCACGUGCAAUCAACCCCAGCGCGCAGAUCCAGCAACCCACUAGCGCAGCAGAACCAGCCCCAGUAGCGCGCAGCAUCCCGCACGCAACCAGCAUCACCAGCGCGCAACCAGCAAUCCCCCAGCGCGCAGCACGCAGAUCCAGCGUCACCAGUUCGCAGCAUUAGUCCCAUCCGCGCGCAACUGAACCAGCAGCCGUGUACCCGCAAGCUCCAGUCGAGCAGCAAUAGUCUGCCUGCAUUCCAGCCGCGUGAAUCGAAAUUCGUGACAAGAUGGAGCAGAAUUUGGCCGCAUACUUCAAGAGUGUGGGAUUUAUCCCACCAUUCCCGCCAAGCCCAUAGACGUUAUGAGGAUCAAAGCGCACAAUUCAGGGAAGUUUUUGCCUUUAAUCUUUUAUCCUGACGCUUUAAUUUUUAUGUGAGCUUUGAUUAUCUUACAUUGGGGACAAUGUAAGUUCUUGGUGUGGGGGAGGGAUUUUUGCAUUAUUGAUGUCUGGAAUUAUUGUUUUCACUCUACUUAUUUUUUUUUUCACUCUACUCAUCCUUAAAUGAUUUUGGAGUUAGUAUGCUUUAUAUAUUAUUAAUUUUCUUUUCCUUUAUCUCUCACUACUCUUUUCCCAUCUAUCUCACAUUAUUUACAUCUAUUUUUUUUUUCUAUCAUACUUUUUCAUCACUCACAUUUUAUCUUUCAUUUUUUUUACUACAUACAUCUUUCUUGCUUAUUAUCCUUUUUACCUUUCCUUUUAUAUCUCACUCAUACCUUCUUCUCAUUCUACACCACUAUUGAUGGUUGAUUCAUUUGAAGAGUGUACAGGAUUUGAUGGCAAAUUUACCAACUUUGUGAGGAUUUGAGCCUAUGAGCAACCACUUUGCUCUAAUUAUUUUUGUUAUGUGAAUAUCAAUCCUAGUUUGUCUUUUCUAGAACUUGCUUUAUUAUGCAUGUUGAAGCCACAUUACGAGAUUUUAUGCAUUAAAAUGAUAAGGGCAAACCAUUUACCAAUUUUCUAUUCUCGCAUUUUCCUUUUUCUCUACCCGAAGACCUUUAUUUGCUAUCUUUGUUUGAGCCUUAACCAUUACCCAUCUAAUUCUCUCCGUCUACUUAACCAUUUUUCUUCUUUUUGAGCCUCAAUUUAAGGAGAUUUUUGGACUCAUUGUGUGGAUAUAUUUUGUUGCUUUUUCUACCUUGUAAUAAAGUUUCUCAAUUAGAUCAACAAGCAUUAUGCUUGAAUUAAAUUGUGCAAGGUUCGUUUCUUUUGUUUGAUUCAAAAAAAAAAACAACAAAAAAAAAAACAAAAAAAAAGAAAAAAAAAGAAAAAAGAAAAAAAAAGAAAAAAGAAAAAUUGAAAAAAAAAUCGAAAUAAAAAAUGUUUACAUUCUUGGUGACUUGAGUAGAAAUAAGCAUUUUGAUAUCAUAAGUUCAUUCAAUGAGUUCAUUCUUCUCGUUUUGAUCUCUUUUUCUUUCGUAAACUUUUCUUUUUCAUUUAACACAUUUAACCCCAUUACAACCCUUUUAAGACCCUUAGAUUUUUGCAUUUUAUUCAUGUUUUGUGGAUUGAGAUGUGAUAUAUGAGCAAGCUUAUGGUAAUAGCAUUCUUUGAUUUGAUUUGAGUGGAUAAAUGACACCCUAAACACUUUGAGUGCAUGGAGUGAAGUUAUUGAGAGGGCUAUUACAUCUUGUUGCACUUGAAUUUUGAACGAAUCUUCUUGGUGGUUGAAUGUUCUUAUUCUAUCUUAUGAAAUUCUAUGCUUUAAAAUCCUUGUCUCUCGAACGUUGAACGACUUAAUUUCUUGAGGUAUGCUUGCUUAAAAUUAUUUUUGGAUGAGUUGAGAUGAGAAUUUAGUGGAGAUUUGAGAUUAGUCUUGAGUUAUAUGCUUGAGGACAAGCAUCAUCUUGGUGUGGGGGAAUUUGUUAGAGUGCAAUUUAUGCACUAGUUUUGCAUUUAAUAAUAGUGAUUUACCUGUGAUUUACUUUUGUAGGUGCAAUUCGAUUGAUUGGUGAUAAAAUUAAGCUACAAGAUGAUGUUUAGGGAUGAUUGUUCCCUUGGAGAAAUUAUGAGCGGCAGAAGAACUUUGUUGAUAAGGCGUGGGCGCGUGCUGUCAAUUGCGGACCUGCAGUUUUUAGUUUAACGUGUUUUAUAUUUUUGGCUAUUUUUGUAAUUACGAAUUUAAUAUUUUAGAUAUUAGUAUUUUAUUUUAAAUAGAACUCUAAAAGAGAAGAGAGAGAGAGUAUUUAAGGGAGGAAUCAAUUGUGAAAAAGGGGGGAUUUUUGGAUUGGAGAAAAAGAAAGAAACCCUAGAUCUAAUUUUUCUCUUCUCUCUAUGAAGAACUAAACCUAUUUUUCUGGUUGAAGGAUAACGAAGCUUUGAUUCAUCACUACUGUGAGAUCUUUCUUGUGCUUUAAUUGUUUUAUUGCUUUUUGGGUAUUUGUUUAUUCUCUGUAUUAUUUUCAUGAUUAUGUUUGUUAAUUAGGUAAUUGGCCACUAUUUAAUUAUCAACUUAAUCUAUUGUCAAUUAAAGGAUUCAUCGUAUGAAGAAUUUAAUGUUUGUGACAAAUAACAUAGCAGAGAGUUGUGUUGUGAGAAUAAACAAUCUAAUUUAAAUGAAUCAUCAUAUGUGUUGAUUAGGAUUUGGGUCUCUCUGGUUUUUCAGGCUGUCAAUUGAUUAAAUUCUAUGAUCGUAUCUAGGGUUGUCUAUUGAUUAGGAAAAUAACCAACGGUCGUACCUUGGUUAUCGACUAGUUAAGGAGAGAUUGGCUAUUAGAGGGUCUCAGUAGCUAUAACCGGUCUAUUCAUAAGUAAUAAUAAUAAUCUAUAUUUGAAUCAAUGAUCAGUAGUCGAAUCAAGCUGAGUUAAUUCCUUCAACCAGAGCUUUC
rnacentral:lncRNA from 1 species